CGAGUUGCAGCCUGAUUGGAGGAUGUUUUAGGUACGAACUAGCCUACAAGUGAAUUUCUGGCGGCACAUAAUGCGUUUGGAUGCUUGCAAGCUGGAUAUCAAGUGGCAGAUGUUCCUGCUAAAUAACAGCGAGAUAUCCCCGACAGCUAUUUUAAAAGCUUCAAAGACGACCGUUAUCUGGGAAAGUCUCACGCAAAAUGAUUGGUUUGCCUCUGCAGGAGAUGAUGGCCUGGUGUUGGUGUGGAACGUUGAGGUGAGACUUACUCUGAGAGGAUAGAUAGUGUGGUGAUAGGAACAUGCACACAUUCUACAGCUUUCAGCAGUAGUUUUAUAUCUGUAAUUAUUAACUGGGUGGGUCGAGCCCUGAAUGCUGAUUGGCUGACCGGCGUGGUAUACCACGGGUAUGACAAAACAUUUAUUUUUAGUGCUCUAAUUACGUUGGUAACCAGUUUAUAAUAGCAAUAAGGCACCUCUGGGGUUUGUGAUAUAUUGCUAAUAUACCACGGCCCAGGGCUGUUCUUAGGCACGACGCAACGCGGAGUGGCCAUAUGCCACACCUCCUCUGGCUUUAUUGCUUAAAUAUAAUAUU
rnacentral:lncRNA from 13 species